rnacentral:misc_RNA from 1 species
AGAGAGAGAGACAGAGAGAGACAGCCUUGUGCACCAAACAGGAUAGUGAUGACUUGAAAUGGGCAAAGAAGGCCAUUGACUUCAAGAAACAACUGAUUAUUCCCCUAGGAUCCCAUUUGCACUAAUGGCAUCAUCCAAGAUAGCCAAAAGUCAUCCCAUCAUUUUGAUUUUAUAAAUGUACUGAUCACAUAUAUGCAUUGCUCAUGGCUUAUCUUGAAAUUGGUCCACUAGGAACAAGUCAUGUCCUAGCAUAAUAAUAUGAAAUCAACCUCAAUGGUCUCCAAAGGAAGCAAUUUGCACAGACAGAGUAAACUAUAACAUCAGACAACCAUUUUGAGAUUUAAUCAAGUAAAAGUGCCUAUGUGUAGUGAAACCUAGUGCAAACAAAGAAUCUCGUAUCCAGGCACCUUCAGUGCCUCUGUCUUUCCUCUUUUCCCAGCAGCUACAUAGAUAGAACUGUAUCAAUGAUUGUACCCUCAUUGUGUAUGUAACCGUGUUAGGAUCUACCAAACAAAUUGAGUGGGUAUAGAGAAUAUAAAGAAGACUUUGAAUUUCUAUCAGUCAUUAAAAAAAUAAAAAAAAUCUAAUAUCCUAGUCUAAUUAAAUACUUUCUACAUUCAUGCUAUUUGAAAGAGCAUAAGAUAAUCAAUGGAGAUCAGGACCAUUAACCACUUUUUCUUAAGCAGGCCCCAAAAAUCUCAUUAUGUCACAAACCACUCUUGUAUGCACCAAGGUUUUUUCUUUUCUUUUUUCCUUU